rnacentral:rRNA from 1 species
UGGGGAAUUUUGGACAAUGGGCGAAAGCCUGAUCCAGCAAUGCCGCGUGUGUGAAGAAGGCCUUCGGGUUGUAAAGCACUUUUGUCCGGAAAGAAAUCCUUGGCUCUAAUACAGUCGGGGGAUGACGGUACCGGAAGAAUAAGCACCGGCUAACUACGUGCCAGCAGCCGCGGUAAUACGUAGGGUGCAAGCGUUAAUCGGAAUUACUGGGCGUAAAGCGUGCGCAGGCGGUUUGCUAAGACCGAUGUGAAAUCCCCGGGCUCAACCUGGGAACUGCAUUGGUGACUGGCAGGCUAGAGUAUGGCAGAGGGGGGUAGAAUUCCACGUGUAGCAGUGAAAUGCGUAGAGAUGUGGAGGAAUACCGAUGGCGAAGGCAGCCCCCUGGGCCAAUACUGACGCUCAUGCACGAAAGCGUGGGGAGCAAACAGGAUUAGAUACCCUGGUAGUCCACGCCCUAAACGACGUCAACUAGUUGUUGGGGAUUCAUUUCCUUAGUAACGUAGCUAACGCGUGAAGUUGACCGCCUGGGGAGUAC